rnacentral:lncRNA from 1 species
UAGAUCGAGGUUUUAAUUUGCACUUGAAACGGAAAGGGAUUUGGAAAUGAUUUUGAAAAAUGUACUUGAUGUUAAUCAAGCUCCUUUGAUUUUAUUAUUUUUGAAAGAUUAAUUUUAAUAGUCAUUUUGUUUUUUUGGAUUAACAAUUAUGCAUCACCUAACAAUACAAUAAAAUAAAUUAAAAAAUAAAACAAUAAAAAAAGGUAAAAGAAAUAAUAAAAGGGAUGGGACACACUAUUAAUACAAGAGGUAAAAGAAUUAA